rnacentral:rRNA from 1 species
CAGCCGCCGCGGUAAUACGGAGGGGGCUAGCGUUGUUCGGAAUUACUGGGCGUAAAGCGUACGUAGGCGGUUUUGUAAGUUAGAGGUGAAAGCCCGGAGCUCAACUCCGGAAUUGCCUUUAAGACUGCAUCACUUGAAUCGUGGAGAGGUGAGUGGAAUUCCGAGUGUAGAGGUGAAAUUCGUAGAUAUUCGGAAGAACACCAGUGGCGAAGGCGGCUCACUGGACACGUAUUGACGCAGAGGUACGAAAGCGUGGGGAGCAAACAGGAUUAGAUACCCGUGUAGUCCCUGUCUCUUAUAC